rnacentral:rRNA from 1 species
AUUGAACGCUGGCGGCAGGCCUAACACAUGCAAGUCGAGCGCGAAAGGCCUUCGGGCUGAGUAGAGCGGCGGACGGGUGAGUAACGCGUAGGAAUCUACCUGGUAGUGGGGGACAACUUGGGGAAACUCAAGCUAAUACCGCAUACGCCCUAUGGGGGAAAGUGGGGGACCUUCGGGCCUCACGCUAUCAGAUGAGCCUGCGUAGGAUUAGCUAGUUGGUGAGGUAAAGGCUCACCAAGGCGACGAUCCUUAGCUGGUCUGAGAGGAUGAUCAGCCACACUGGGACUGAGACACGGCCCAGACUCCUACGGGAGGCAGCAGUGGGGAAUAUUGCGCAAUGGGGGCAACCCUGACGCAGCCAUGCCGCGUGUGUGAAGAAGGCCUCGGUUGUAAGCACUUCACUUGGUAGGAAAAGACGUCAUCGUUAAUAGUACGGUGA